GGAAUAUUGGACAAUGGUUGAGAGCCUGCUCCAGCCAUCCCGCGUGAAGGACGACGGCCCUAUGGGUUGUAAAAUUCUUUUGUAUAGGGAUAAACCUACCCUCGUGAGGGUAGCUGAAGGUACUAUACGAAUACGCACCGGCUAACUCCGUGCCAGCAGCCGCGGUAAUACGGAGGGAGCAAGCGUUACCCGGAUUUAUUGGGUUUAAAGGGUCCGUAGGCGGAUCUGUAAGUCAGUGGUGAAAUCUCACAGCUUAACUGUGAAACUGCCAUUGAUACUGCAGGUCUUGAGUGUUGUUGAAGUAGCUGGAAUAAGUAGUGUAGCGGUGAAAUGCAUAGAUAUUACUUAGAACACCAAUUGCGAAGGCAGGUUACUAAGCAACAACUGACGCUGAUGGACGAAAGCGUGGGGAGC
rnacentral:rRNA from 1 species